GUGCUCACUUUGGCAUUACAUACACUAAAUUGGAAUAAUACAGAGAAGAUUAGCAUGAUCCCCAUGCAAGGAUGACAUUCAAAUUCAUGAACCAUUUCACAUUUCA